UACGUAGGGACCAAGCGUUGUCCGGAAUCAUUGGGCGUAAAGAGCGUGUAGGCGGCUUUACAGGUCCGUUGUGAAAACUCGAGGCUCAACCUCGAGACGCCGGUGGAAACCGUAAGGCUAGAGUCCGGAAGAGGAGAGUGGAAUUCCUGGUGUAGCGGUGAAAUGCGUAGAGAUCAGGAGGAACACCCAUGGCGAAGGCAGCGCUCUGGUCGGCAUCUGACGCUGAGAGGCGAAAGCGUGGGGAGCGAACGGG
rnacentral:rRNA from 1 species